AAAAAUCUGCUGAAAUUCUAGGCCAGAACUGUCCUAGUGGAGGACCUGGCUAAGUCACAGACAUGACUACAGUCUUCCGUGGCAUUCUCUCUUCCUCUCAAUUAUCUAAAUUCUCUGAAAAGCUGAGCAUCUGAAACAAACAUGUGAAGCUGAUUUGUCACUUUGCUUGAACCCAACUGUGGACAUGACUCUGGCUAGCACCAGCAGCAUAUUUACCUAUUGCAGUGCUAGCAGGAAGUUGGGAAAUGAAUGUCUCUUUGGAACUUUAUUAAAGCAAUGGAUGUGAAAAAUAAGUCUUGUGGAUUUAUAAACAUUCUUACAAAAGGAAUGAGAUAUGGAGCAAUAUUUUGAGAUAAGGUUAAUGCUUUUGAGCUUGCUCUUCCAUGCCUACGGGGUGUAACACAUAUGGUAUUAAAAAAAAAAUCUAUGGUCAAUGCCCAGCCAUCAAUCAAAUAAGUAACUGGGAGGGUCAUGCUGAUCUGGGUUUUGAGGAGUGGUGUGUCAUUUUCGUAAAGCCUCCCAAGACUGACUUUUUACUGCUGUCACUAAGACUCUGGAUGCUCACUGGAACCAAACCAAGCUUGCUGCUGGAUUGAGGAAGGAAACAGAAGGCCAGGAAAUUCAAAUUGUUCUGUUGCCUCUCACCUUUGGACCUACAACUGAUUUCUCUCCCCUGUACCUAUGGAUCAGAAGACAGUGUGUUGUAGUUUAUAAAAAUAACAUUAUGGUUAACACUAGUAGGCAGCUGCUGAAAGCACCUUGAUCAUGUUUGUAGGGAGGUGUUCAGGUUGCUGAUAUGGAGCAUGUCUCAGCUUUGUGGCACCUGUGGAUUAACCAGUGACAGCAAUGUCAAUUGUCCUGUAAGUCUGCAGGAGUCCAGCACCCAUCCUGAGACUGUUCCCAUCCCCAAAUACACACACAGCCCCUUACUUGGUCCAUUGGAGACCGCUUGCAGCACACAAUUUUAGAAUUUACUUUUAUGGCGCAGAUUGUAUCCAAUGAAAAUUGUACAAUUUAGAUAAAUGUUUCCCAGUGUUUUAGCCAUAACGUCGAUUUUUCAGCAUUUUUACUAGUUGGCACUAAUACCACUUACAAUUGCAAAUUACUAUUGAAAUAACAAUCUCAUUAUCAAAUGAAAAACAUCAAAGUACAUGUAAGUGAUUAAAGUGGGAAUCUCAGGAACACGUGCUCAGCUCAGUGAAGAUAAUCCUAUUUCGGUUAAUCUUGAUUACAAAGGAUUCUUUCGUUACUUGGGUGUGAAUCUGCUCAUGGUGCAGAAAUGACUAAUGGAACAGUAGGGGCUUCUUGCACACAACGGGUGUCCUCGGACGCGCCCCCUUUCCCUGCCGUGACCCGAGCGCCGGAGAUGGGGCGAGACGCCAACACUGCGCCGGGGACACCGA
rnacentral:lncRNA from 1 species